AUGGCCAUGGCUUUGGCAAUAUUCAAUGAGUAUGCUGGGGUGCUUUCAAACGUCAAUGCAUGUCGUGAAUUCUUCAGCUGGACGGCAUCAGUCAUAACGGCCACUCGUUCUUCACGGAACACCUCAGAGUUGCCAUGCCAAGACAAGGCAGCUGCUCUACGACAGGCUGAAGAGGAAAUUGAGCGGCUGGGGAAUGCUAUUUGGGAGCUAACGACAUCAAUGCCCAAGAUGCUUGAGCUCAUUGAUCAGGUCGAGUUUCUAAGCCAUAAGGAACAUGUGGCUGCUCUCCUCCCGGGUAUCAAGGCUGCAGUGUAUGAUGGAGAGGACCUGUUUGAUGAGUUUGAUUGUGAUGCACUCAAGUUAAAGGUUGAACGCAGCAAGAAUUUGUGUCCAGAUCGAUUGCAUGACACCUGUUUGGAAUUCUAUGACACGGUCAAAUCCAAUGAUCAGAUCAGGAAAGUCAACAGAAUUCAUAAAAAUCUAGAACAUAUCCAUAAGCAGUGCAGGCAUAUGCGCUUGCACAAAGCACCACUGAAGUUUGAUAAGUCAAUUAGGCCAGAAACAACUUCCAACUUUAAUGAGCCAAAAAUGUUUGGCCGGGAAGAAGAACUGAAGAACUUGGUGGCAGCACUAGGAGUUGUUCGUGCACCAAAGAGAGCAAGGACUGAAAUCGAAGAGAGAAUGACAGAGCUGCCUGUGUUUUCAAUUGUUGGCAUGGGAGGUGUCGGAAAGACAACAAUGGCCCAACAAAUCUGCAAGCAUACAGAUGUGAAUAAGCACUUUGGCCCCGAAAAUAUAAUCUGGACAUGCGUUUCAUAUGAUUUUGACAGAAAAAGGUUAACAAGAGAGAUUAUAGAGUCCCUGGGUGGAGAUGCAUCAUCUAAUAAUCUGAAUGUUCUUAUGGGUAAACUAGAAGGCCAUGUCAAGUCCAAAAAGUUCUUACUUGUCCUUGAUGACGUGUGGGACGAUAUCUUGAAGGAUCAUGGGGCGGAAUGGAACAGUUUGUGUGCGUCUUUGAAAUAUGGUGCUGAAGGAAGCAGGAUUUUGGUCACCACUAGAUCUCGUGGGGUUGCUAAGCUAGUUGGGCCUAUGAAUAGUUAUGAGUUAAAGGGCUUGCAAGAUAAGGUAUUUUGGGAUUUCUUCAAAGCCUGUGCAUUUGGAUCCGUCAGCUCUUGCAACAACCGGGAGUCAUUGGAGUGCAUUGGUAAAGAGAUUGUUCCAAAGUUGAAGGGCUCCCCAUUGGCUGCCAGGACCAUUGGACGCUUGUUGGCAGUGGAUUUACCUACAGAACACUGGGAAUAUAUAAUGGAAAGUGAACUCUGGAAAAUAGAACAAAAGGAGUUUGACAUUCUGCCGGCCCUUCGACUGAGCUAUAUGUGCCUACCGCAUAAAUUGAAGAGAUGCUUCUCAAUCUGUGCAAUAUUCCCCAAGGAUUACAAAUUUAGGAGGGAUUUUCUAGCUGAUAUCUGGAUUGCACAAGGAUAUGUGGAGGGGCCCCAAGAAGCCUCUAUGUGCUUUGAUGCCCUUGCAAAUCGUUCAUUCUUUCAGAAAGCAUCACCACAUAUUGACUUUUUUUUAGAAAAGCAUCACCACAUAUUGAUGAGUAUGUAA
rnacentral:rRNA from 1 species